CAAAAAAAAAAAAAAAAAAAAAAAUAUCUCAUCGCUUCAUAGUACAGCCGUUCUAGAGAUUACCAAAAACCCUCACUCUCUCAUCCCUCACGGCCUGCCACCGAAGCCGGCUUCGUCAACCUCACCGACCACCCACUGGUUUUACGGCCUACGGUUAUUCUUAUAUUGGAGCGCCUUUUAAGGAGGUCAGAAUUCAGAGCAGAUACUGUAAUUGGGGCAAGGAUGUCUGAGGUUGGAUAUGCUCAUCUAAAGGAAGAAAUUGGUCAUGAUGUCAUAGCAACAUUGGCAGAGAUUCUUUGUUAUGAUGACAAACCUCUAUUUCUCUCUUUUAUGAAGGAGCUAUUUCAAAGAAAAGUACCAAAAACAGAAGAAGUUAGAAAGAAGGAAUCAUCUGAUUAUCAAGCUAAAUAUUGCCCACCAACAAUUUUGCAUGGAAUUUGUGAGUCUGGCGUAAUAGAUUGUGCCAUCGCUUUUCUCGGAGGGGAGACCGGUUUCAUCGCUGAUCUCAAUAUUCCCUUUAACGAUGGAUUAUAUCCAUUGCAUUUAGCAGCUAAUGGUUUAUCAUAUGAAAUGAUUACGACAUUGCUUAGCCAUGGAGCUCAGACUGAUGUCAGAACCAUAGAGGGUAAAUUUAGGGGCGACUUGUUUCCUCUCAACGUAUCACUUGAAACAGUAAGUUAUCAUCGAUCCUUGAUUGAUUGGACCCCAAAACAAUCUAUCUUCAAAUUGAUCGUUGUUCUUUGUCUGCCUCAAAUGAAAGUACCAUUAGAAAUUAAUAGGUUGCUGGCAUGGAACACAAAGGAGGUUGAUAAAAUAUUUAUUCAUUAUGCUAUGGAGGGAGAACUUAUUGAGAUGGCUACUCUACUGAUGGUUGCUCGAGAAAAGUUAAUCCCUUUGAGCAUGUCAAUACGCAAAAGCAUCAUUGAAGAGAUUGUAGGACUAACUGAAGAUGAAAUCAAAUUGAUCGGAAGUCACAAGAAUGAUAAGUUGGUUGAAGAGAUUGUAGGACUAACUCAAGAUGAAAGCAAGUUGCUCGGAAUUAAUAAGAUUGGUAAGUUGGUUCGGUCGCUUAACGAUAUUAAGGCAGCGAUGACGCGGGGAAUAUUGUUGCUCAAAGUGUUUGAGAAGGCUGGUGUUGCUCUUGAAAAAUACAGGCAGUUAGUACAGAGUGAAAUGCCAAAAGAAAAGGUGGUCAACGACAUUAAGGCGCUGCUUGAGAGAGCCGGGUUUGUUAUAAACGACAAAGAUGUUGAUUUAAGUGACAUUGACUGUGAAAGUGAAAGUAUCAAAGAGGCAACGGAAGAAUUAGAAGAGAGUUUAACAUUGAGGUCUUAUUCAAAGGAUCUCUGGAUGCCACCUCCCUCACUGUCUAACAGUUUUUCCAAGGAAAAGAGUUCGGUCAUAUAUAAAACUUUUAGAACAUUCAUCGAAUAUGGGCCCCUUGUUUUUACGCCUUCGUCACGGUCAUACGUUACAUUCCCGCUCAUGGAUAAAAAGACACAUCGUGUUGCUAUAAGUGUUAACUUUUCGAGAACCCCUAGACCCCCAGCAAUGAUAGUAUCUGCGGCAUAUCUUCUAUCAAGAAAUCAGUUUGCCUCCUUGGCAUUAGCAAUCAAGAAGAGGUUAACUUGCAUAUGAUUGGCAAAUAAGGUUAUUCUUAUAUUGGAGUGCCUUUUAAGGAGGUCAGAAUUCAGAGCAGAUACUGUAAUUGGGGCAAGGAUGUCUGAGGUGUAAUUGUGUUGAAAAACCCUAUGGCACCACUACAGCAAGGGAGAUUACAGCAGAGGAUCGGGGCUCCCUUUUUCUUACUUAUAUUACUGUUGGAUAUGCUCAUCUAAAGAAGAAAUUGUUUGUUAUGAUGGCAAACCUCUAUUUCUCUCUUUUAUGAAUGAGCUAUUUCAAAGAAAAGUACCAAAAACAGAAGAAGUUGGAAAGAAGGAAUCAUCUGAUUAACAAGCUAAUAGUUUAUCAUAUGAAAUGAUUGCGACAUUACUUUGCCAUGGAGCUCGGACUGAUGCAGAACCAUAGAGGGUGAAUUUAGGGGCGACUUGUUUCCUCUCAACGUAUCACUUGAAACAGUAAGUUAUCAUCGAUCCUUGAUUGAUUGGACCCCAAAACAAUCUAUCUUCAAGUUGAUCGUUGUUCUUUUGUCUGCCCCAAAUGAAAGUACCAUUAGAAAUUAAUAGGUUGCUGGCAUGGAACACAAAGGAAGUUGAUAAAGUAUUUAUUCAUUAUGCUAUGGAGGGAGAACUUAUUGAGAUGGCUACUCUACUGUUGGUUGCUCGAGAAAAGUUAACCCUUUGAGCAUGUCAAUACUCAAAAGCAUCAUUGAAGAGAUUGUAGGACUAACUGAAGAUGAAUUCAAAUUGAUCGGAAGUCACAAGAAUGAUAAGUUGGUUGACGAGAUUGUAGGACUAACUCAAGAUGAAAGCAAGUUGCUCGGAAUUAAUAAGAUUGGUAAGUUGGUUCGGUCGCUUAACGAUAUUAAGGCAGCGAUGAUGCGGGGAAUAUUGUUGCUCAAAGUGUUUGAGAAGGCUGGUGUUGCUCUUGAAAAAUACAGGCAAUUAGUACAAAGUGAAAUUCCAAAAGAAAAGGUGGUCAACGACAUUAAGGCGCUGCUUGAGAGAGCCGGGUUUGUUAUAAACGACAAAGAUGUUGAUUUAAGUGACAUUGACUGUGAAAGUGAAAGUAUCAAAGAGGCAACGGAAGAAUUAGGUGAUUGGUUGAUUUCCACUUCAAGUGACUCAUGCUUCAAAGGAAUUUUCCAGAAAAAAUCCAUUAGGCUUUGUUUGAUUAGAUGGAAUCAACUAGAAAAGAAAGGAAAGAGAAAAUUUUUAAAUUUUUUUAGAGUUUGGAUAGAUGGAAAAAGAAUCGUAAUAGAAAAUAUAGUUUCCCACAUUAGACUAGUUUCCCCCAAAACUUUUCUCACAUAAAACACGAGGAAAUAAUAUUUUCUCUUGAAAACUGCUUCUUUUUAUUUAAAGUUCCUAUUUUUUCCAACAACUGAAUCAUGUAAAACAACUAACUUCUUUCUUUUCUAACUGAGUUUCUUUUCUACUGAGUUUCAAAGAGUCAAGUUUUCUAACAAUUUCUAUUUUAGUGGACUUCUAAAAGGCAAGUUCUCUCUAAACAUGUUCUUUUGCAAUACUAUUUGGACGAUUUUUUUUUUUGGGUUCCAAAUAUAUACAUUGUAUUUGAUAUAUAUAUAUAUAUAUAUAUAUAUAUACCCCUCUAUUAUAUAUACAUAGAAUAAUAUAUGUUUUGCUUUUUUGUGUUCUCUAGUUGAAAGCCCAUGAGUCCAUGAGCCCAAAUUUUUUAUUUUUUAUUUUAUUUUUAAGCCUCCUUAUUCCUUUUAAAUGAAUAGUUAGUUUUACUUCUAUGGUUCUACCUAAGAAGUCUUGAAGUAUUGUUUUAUUUUAUACAAUAUAAAUGAAUAUAAAUAAUUAUAUUAUUAACUUUAUAAUUCAUCAUUUUUUUUAAAACUUUGAUAAAAAUAGAUAUCAUCAAACACAAAUUUAUUUAUUUUUUUAGUAUUUGAAAUCAUAAGGGUAAUUUUGGUAUGCACAAUCACUUUCUUUUCAUUUUCAUGCUAUCCAAACUAACAAACUAAUAUUUUCAUACAAUUUUCUUGAAUAAAUUUUCAUGCUAACCAAAUGCUUGAUAGAAAAUAACUUUUCUUUUCAUUCACUUCACUUUUCUUUCAUUUUUCAUUUCUUUUCUUUUCUUGCUUAGUUAUAUCUAACCAAACGGGGCCUUAAAGUAGUCUGAUUUUGUUA